rnacentral:rRNA from 1 species
AGGGAAGCGAGCCUGUGAAGGGGAGCAAAUCCCAAAAAUAACGUCCCAGUUCGGAUUGUAGUCUGCAACCCGACUACAUGAAGCUGGAAUCGCUAGUAAUCGCGGAUCAGAAUGCCGCGGUGAAUACGUUCCCGGGUCUUGUACACACCGCCCGUCACACCAUGGGAGUCAGUAACGCCCGAAGCCGGUGACCUAACCGAAAGGGAGGAGCCGUCGAAGGUGGGACCGAUAACUGGGGUGAAGUCGUAACAAGGUAGC